UACGUAGGUGGCAAGCGUUGUCCGGAGUUACUGGGCGCAAAGGGCGUGUAGGCGGCUUUUCAAGUCAGACGUGAAAACCCUGGGCUUAACCCAGGAACUGCGUUUGAAACUAGAAGGCUUGAGGACCGGAGAGGGUAGUGGAAUUCCCAGUGUAGCGGUGAAAUGCGUAGAUAUUGGGAGGAACACCAGUGGCGAAGGCGACUGCCUGGACGGCACCUGACGCUGAGGCGCGAAAGCUAGGGGAG
rnacentral:rRNA from 1 species